UGAAAGCACUAAGAAGGGACUCCCAUU
rnacentral:piRNA from 1 species